CUUGACCCUGUCGCCCGAGGUGCACGUGCUUGGUUGCUAUGAGAACCUCAACCGCAGGCCACCACGUGCAGCUGUUACUACGGUGGACAUACAGGGCAAUACAACCAGACCCGUGGUUCUAGUCCUGUCAACGUACGAACCUGUAGCGUGGACGAUCAACGUCCCUGCUGGAGUGAUCAUCCAGAAAAUUAUAAUGUUUGCUUACUACGCCGACCAGAGUUCUGUGACUGUGAAUGGCGGAUCAAGCCCGCCGGUUGAGAAAAGUAGGGACAUCGCCUGUGCUUACGGAAGUGAUAACGGAGGAUGUCACACUCUGAAGCUGCUCAAGAAAGUCAAGUCCCUGUUUGGUCACGUCACUUCCUUUUCCGGGACAUACAAAGUAGACCACUGGUCGCUGAAAGUUGGUGGUUAAAUAAAGCAGCUUAGUGUUGUAAAGUUGUUUUGUGCUACAUUGACAUAUUGACACAGAAACAGAUGACAGACAAUCAAUCCUACAUAUUUUGUAACACAAGUGAUCUACAAAACGUUGACUUUAUUAGAACGCGAGUUUUAUGUAUUAUUGUUGGUAAAUCUGAAUGAUUGUGUACGAAUACGUGAUUGUUAAACGCGGUGACAUUUAUAACAUGUUCAUUCUAGUGUUGGUUUGUUACAUUUUUAUUUGCUCUGCUACAAUUGGCGUUAGUGAGUUUUCUUUUCAUAGAAUAUCGUGUCAGCUAAUUGAAAAAGGGGGUGUUAAUUUUUACAUUUUAUUUAUGUUAAUUACGAGUCAGAUUAAAGAUUUAAAAUAC